rnacentral:lncRNA from 13 species
UACAUAUUAUUUCAUUAAUAAGCUAAAUUCAUGAUAAUAUAACAUUGAAAGCUUAACUUAAGAUAAACUAUCAAUGCAUGUCUAUAUUAAGAAGACUAAGCAUGUAAAUUAAACGUUGAAGAAAUUUACGAAAAAACAACGGGAAUAAAAAGUUUGUAAUUUUGUAUUUUUUGGUAUUUUUAGCGGUAAAAAUUAUAAGGUCUUGAGUGAGAAAGUAUCGACUAAUUGUGCCCGAGGAUUGUCAAGGAUCUCGCAGCGAACAACCCAUACGGCAAAAUCGAUAACAGAAGCAUCAAGCGGCGCACACGAGUCCACUCGAUCGCCGCCAUUAAGAUGUAGCACACGAUUCGUCAUCCAACUCGAGGCAAGCAGGCGCCGAUCCUGUGCCAAGCAGAUGUUCGAGGGAAGGCACCAGAGCAGUGACACCUGAGAGCGAAAAGGUAUCCCAACAGCAGCAACCGAUAAAGUCGCAAUAACUGUAGCGAUGGAAGGAUGGAUUAGUCAAAACUCGCGCGACGAAGAAAUCAAAACUCACUAGCUUUAAUACACAACCAAAACUCUUGCCGCGGCGACCAAUGCAAAUGAACCGUUAAGCGAGUUGAAGGCGCUGGAAAUACGAGAACGCAUUACGCGUGCACGCAAAACAUACGAUAACUAUUUACAAAUCCAAGCAAAAAUAGAUAAAAUAAGUAGCAACAAGAAAGAGACCAAACAGUAUCGCGAGUGUUUCGAAACGGAUUAUUUCCAAACAGUGGCACAAGCCGAAUGAUUACUCACUCGUCAUCUCCGUAAUGCAAAUAUACACAUAACUAAUACAGGUCUAACAGCGAAUAUAGGUUAUAAUAUGCCGAUACAAGGAGAAUCGUCACAAGCGGCUACGCAAGCCCUUCCAAAUGUAGCCAAACAAGCAAAUCAACAUAUUAUUCUAAAAGUAGGAGGCAUCAGAUUGCCAACUAUCGAAUUACCAAAAUUCAAAAGCAAAAUAUCUGAUUAACUUAGUUUUAGAGACACAUUUGAGUCUCUCAUUCACAAAAAUGAAGCGAUAAAUCCUAUACAAAAACUUCACUAUUUAAAGGCUUUGUUGGAAGGUCCUGCAGCGAAAAUUAUUAAAUCGUUAGAGUUUUCCGCAUUAAAUUACACUGUGGCAUGGAAUGCAAUUUGCGAUCGUUUCAACAAUAAGAGGUUGCUCGCUCAUAAUCAUAUUAAAGCCAUUUUUAAUAUAAAUAGCAUAAAACAAGAGUCCGCGUGUUAAAUUCGCGAAACUAUAGAUAUCUUGAAUAAACAUUUAAGAGCUUUAGAACAAUUUACAGAGUAUUGGGAUACACUAUUAAUAUAUCUGAUCUCAACAAAAUUGGACAACGUCACAGCAAGAGCCUAGGAAAAGGAAAGAGCAGGCAACGAUAUCCCCACAUUAGAAGAAUUCAAGACAUUUUUAAACUCAAGGGCAGAUUGGACAGCAUUGAGCGAGAGGAGUGCUUCAAAGGCAAAACAAGCGGAACGCCCUAAGAUAAAGGCAUUGCUCCUUCAAAAACAAAGAUGUAGUCUUUGCAAGGAGAUGCACCGACUAGCAAAUUGAGAAAAAUUUCUCGAGCUCUCGCCGCAGGCCAGAACCGAGCAUUUAAAAAAGGUAAAACCCGGCAAACAAGCAAUUCGUAACAUAGCAAAGAAUAAUUUACCUAACAGGGAUUGGAGUAGUUUCCGAAGGAACGACGAUAAUACAAAAUCUAAAACUUUAUAUUUUAUCGGUAUAAAUUAUAGCGCUUCAAGUACCGGAGUAUCGCUUCAUUCGGCGCGUUGCAAAAGAUACUUUACUCUUGAACCUAACAGGGAUUGAAGUAGGUUCCGAAGAAACGACUGUGGUACAAAAUUUGAAACUUUGUAUUUUGUUGUUAUAAAUUAUAGCGCCUGGAAUGCCGAAGUAUCGUUUGGUUCCGCUCGUUGCAAAGGUAUUUUACUCUUAAACCUAAUAGAUUUGUGUUAAAUUGGGGGUUGUUUGUGAGGAAUGGAUCAAUAUAUUAACUUUUUCUUGAUGGUACAAAUUAGUACAAAUUUAGUUCUGAUUUCUACUUUUGUUUUCUUUUUUCAUUUUUUUUCAAUGCGGUCCUGCUAGCUUAAUAUUUAGCUACGUACGUCACGUGUUUUUUUUUUUAACGGCAAAGGGUACAAAAUUUUUUUCUUGUGGUACAAAUUAGUACAAAAUUAGUACUAAAUAAUUGAAUGGGUCGUUUUAUUUUACUCAUUUGGUCUUGCUAGCUUAUAAGAGGUAAUUUCCUAGACUUUUAUAUACAUUUUCUAGCCUAAUCUACGCGCUACAUAUUUGUCUAAAACAAUAAAAUGUAUACGAAAUCAUCUAGGAAAUUUUUAUUUAAACUAAAAUUCGUUCUGACCGUUGUUGGCUAUUUUAUAAUUUAAAAAAACAUUUCGUGUAAAGGGCAAUCAAAUGAAAACGAGACAAACUGUAUAACGAGCAUUUUUCCAUCUGUCUCGUUUUCAUUUGACUGCCUCUUAUAUUUCUGAUUUUUUUUAAUAGUAGUAGUCAGUAUAAAGUUUUUAUUGGUAUACAUAUAUCAUUUUCCUUCAAUAUAGUAAAUAAUACAUAAUAGAGUUUUAAAAAAAUAGAAUGCCUAUCUGUUCAAAAAGUAACUAAAAUUGUCUGUAUUUAAUGUUUGGACCAAAAUAAAAAUUUCUUUUUGCCGUAUAACUAUAUUCGAGUUUCAUGCAAAAUUUCAAUACGGUGUAUUAAUUAGUUUGUUUACGGCAGUUAUUUGUGUUAAACAAGUUAGUCGAUUUUUGAUAAUCAUGGCGAUUUACUUUUACAGUCUCUGUCAAUUCAAAAUGUUUUUCAUGCAGUAAUAACAUGAGUUUUGGAAAAAUGUUUACAUCGAUCAUUUGAUACGUAUCAAGUUCUACAUUUGUAAUAAAUUAACUUAAUUUGAUGGUGUAAAUGAUGUAUAAUAGUCUGAUAGAAUACGGAUCACGCAGACAUAACAAAUUAAAAUAAUAUGCUUCUUCAGUACACAUGUAACGUUCUAACAUUUGUUUAAUAUGCGUACUAAAGUGCUCGGUAUAAACUAGGUAAUGAAUUACAAAUAAUAAUUCGUAUCAAAUAUAGCGGCAAAAUGCGCCACAAAAUCGCACUGAGAACAAUAUAUGUAUUUAGCUAGAAGUGCAUUCCAAUCAAAAUCGUGAGACAUAAUUAUCCUAUGAUUUAUGAUAACAGAAUGCUGAGCCGUAUUCCUAUUAAUAUAAUUUUUAUGUUCAUUUACUCUAGUUUUUAGAAGCCUACCAGUAUGACUGACAAAAGAGGUUUCAUAAUCUUUACAUCUUGUACACUACAUUAGAGUGUGAGAGUUUAAUGGUAAUUUAUCUUUUUGUGCUUUAAUGUAUUUUAGUUUGUCAAUCCUUAAACACACCGAUCUCGUAAAAUACGUAAACACAAAAUACUGAAAAUCUAUAGUAUAUGUGUAGUAUAUGAACAAUAAAUUUUCAGUACUCGUAAUCAAUUCGGAACGCAGCCUAUGUCAUAUUACCUAGAUGAUACAAUUAUAAUCAACAACCAUAUUUCCCACAAAGAUCGAUCGUUCUAGCUAUGUCAAAAUUCAUAUUUAUGCAAAGUAAUAAUUUAUAAUCGACAGUAAAACCUAAAUUUUCUAUUGUUAGAAUGUUGUUUAGUUGAUAUAAAAAAUAGCGAUAAAUUUUUGUUGCACCAUUUAGAAAGCAAUUGCCUUUGAAUGUACAUAACUAAAUAAUCAAUGUAUAACUUAAAAUUUAUUUCAUAUGUCCAUAAUCACUUUUUUCCAAAUGCGUUUCGACUUACUUUAAAGUCAUUCUUAAUAAUAUUGUCAUCUUAAUAAUAUUAAUCAGUGGAGUGUAAAAAUGUGGCAGUCAGCGACCAACAUCAUAACAACUUUCAUAAAAAAAAA